ensembl:lncRNA
GACCCAUGCUGUCCCAUUGAUGUUUCUACGCAAUGUUCCCCACUCUGUGCCCCUCUGUCCCCAUAACAUCCCACACAGUUUUCCUUAUGCUGUCCCCAUGCUGUCCGCAUGACAUCUCCUAUUUCAAGUUGUCCUGAUGUCCCGUACUGCUUUCCCUAGUGUCCCCACCAUGCCUCCGUGAUGUUGCAUUUGCUUUCCCAGUCCUCUCCCCGUUAUGUCUGCCACCACCUUCAUGAUAACUCAUGCUGUCUUUUCAGACUGUCCCCACACUGUCCCUAUGUUGUUUUCCCCAUGCUAUCAGCACAUCAUUCCCAUGCUGUACCUGCACUGUCCCCAAAUCUAUCCAAAUGUUGUCCUCAAACCUGUCGCUCCCUUGUCUCCACCCUAGUCUGCUCUAUCCUCACCCUGUCCCCAUGGUCCCACUGGCUGUGGUGGCAUCCCAUGGUGCUCACCCGCUGUUCCUACAGGUAAAGUGGAUCUUCUCCUCCAUGUUGGAACUGAAGCAGACCAUCGCCCCUGACUACAGGAACGUGAUCAGGCAGGGGGCUUAGGCCCAACCCCUCAAGGGGCCCAGGCUUCCCAAGCCCUUCCAUGAUUGAAUCCAUUGCUUCCACCAACCCAACCCCCAGGGUCACACCUUCCUCAGACCACCUUCCUCACACCUUCCUCGCUGCCCUCUGACCUUGUGGUUCAGUGACACUGUGCUCCCACCCUCCCUGCGCUGGAGGACUCAUGGAUAGCAGGUACGCCCAACCACACCAGCAUGGACAUGUGCCACACCCACAGCUGCCACCAUGAUGCUGACUGAGGCAAACAAGGGACACAGCUUCUCUCCCCGGGACAUCCCUGCCUGCAUGAGCAGGGUGGUCACCCAGGAGGAGGCAGCUCCCAGCAUUGUCCGUGUCCAUCUAGAUGGAGACCAGCCUUGGAUCUAACCGAGUCCACACCAGUCUCCCCAGCACAGGGCAUCUCUGAGAGAGGGACCCUGUGUACUGUUGUUGAUCCUCAGGGCCCACAUUACAGACUGCUGGAUCCAACCCAUAGGGACCGCCUACCCAGUUCUCUAUACACUGGUGAUAAAGAGCUGGACCCAAGACACUACCACCUUCCACAGUGGACCCAGCACCACUCCUAGGAGACACUCAAUGGAGGGUCUGGGCCACACAGUGACUGUAGAACCCCAGCAGGAGCAGGAAAGGGUGACUGCCACCAUCCAUGCUUCAGGAGUGGUCUAGUGGGCUGGCCCCAGGCAGGCCAGACACAGCCUUCUGGGUCUCAGGGACAGAGGAGGCCCAAGAGCACCUGUCCCAACAAAGGGACAGAUGGACAGCUGCUGAAAGCACCAAGGCUCGACCAGGCCUGUCCUGCAGGACCAGUGUCCACUCCAGAGCACUUAAACCAGGAAACCCCAGCUGGACAAGAUACCACAGAGAGAGCCCAGUGGCCCAGGAGCCAGGGCUGGGCUGGCACUGGACAGAGGACCCGUGUGCCAUGGUCCUGUCCAGCAUGGGGAAGAUUCCAAGCCAGAGCCUCCAGUCAGGAAGAAUGACACAAGCAGGAAAGGAAACCAGACACCACUCCAUGCUGCGGGAAAAGCCCAGGGAAUAGCUCAGUUCAGCUUUGUAGCUUUCUUCUUCUUGUAGUGUUCUGGAGCCUCUGAUAUCCUGUAAGUUCUCUCUUAAUGACAAUAAAACGUCCUUUAAAC